rnacentral:rRNA from 1 species
GAACGGGUGAGUAACACGUGGGAAACCUACCUCUUAGCAGGGGAUAACAUUUGGAAACAGAUGCUAAUACCGUAUAACAAUGACAACCGCAUGGUUGUUAUUUAAAAGAUGGUUCUGCUAUCACUAAGAGAUGGUCCCGCGGUGCAUUAGCUAGUUGGUAAGGUAAUGGCUUACCAAGGCGAUGAUGCAUAGCCGAGUUGAGAGACUGAUCGGCCACAAUGGGACUGAGACACGGCCCAUACUCCUACGGGAGGCAGCAGUAGGGAAUCUUCCACAAUGGGCGAAAGCCUGAUGGAGCAACGCCGCGUGUGUGAUGAAGGGUUUCGGCUCGUAAAACACUGUUGUAAGAGAAGAAUGACAUUGAGAGUAACUGUUCAAUGUGUGACGGUAUCUUACCAGAAAGGAACGGCUAAAUACGUGCCAGCAGCCGCGGUAAUACGUAUGUUCCAAGCGUUAUCCGGAUUUAUUGGGCGUAAAGCGAGCGCAGACGGUUAUCUAAGUCUGAAGUGAAAGCCCUCAGCUCAACUGAGGAAUUGCUUUGGAAACUGGAUGACUUGAGUGCAGUAGAGGAAAGUGGAACUCCAUGUGUAGCGGUGAAAUGCGUAGAUAUAUGGAAGAACACCAGUGGCGAAGGCGGCUUUCUGGACUGUAACUGACGUUGAGGCUCGAAAGUGUGGGUAGCAAACAGGAUUAGAUACCCUGGUAGUCCACACCGUAAACGAUGAGUGCUAGGUGUUUGAGGGUUUCCGCCCUUAAGUGCCGCAG